rnacentral:rRNA from 1 species
CCUACGGGGGGCAGCAGUGGGGAAUAUUGGGCAAUGGAGGCAACUCUUACCCAGCAAUGCCGCGUGAAUGAAGAAGGUCUUCUGAUUGUAAAGUUCUUUAAUUGGGGACGAAAAAAAUGACGGUACCCAAGUACUAAGCUCCGCCUAACUACGUGCCCGCAGCCGCGGUAAUACGUAGGGGGCAAGCGUUGUUCGGGAUGACUGGGCGUAAAGGGUGUGUAGGCGGUGUAGCAAGUUAGAAGUGAAAUACCUAGAGCUUAACUCAGGUGCUGCUUCUAAAACUGCUGUACUUGAGUGCGGUAGAGGAAAGUGGAAUGCGUAGUGUAGCGGUGGAAUGCGUAGAUAUUAGGCGGAACAUCAGUGGCGAAGGCGACUUUCUGGAGUGUAACUGACGCUGAGGCACGAAAGUGUGGGGAGCAAACAGGAUUAGAUACCCCAGUAGUC